ncrna:Komagataeibacter europaeus LMG 18890 NMT1 RNA
GGGGCGAGUAGAAGCGGUCGGGAUUUUAUCCUGGGCAUUGCUCCACAC